UCCACUCAGGAGAUCUCAAACAUGAUUGGUUAAGGUGUGUGCAGUGAGGAGGGUCCUUACCGUGUGUCAGGAGAGUCAGCAGAGCCACCGCACCGAUCACCUUGUAGAGAGCCAUAACUGAGCCUGAGGCGGCCCUCUCAACCUCUCAACCCAGACACAAUCACUCCCGGCUGGCAGGAGGCUGCGGUCCAGCUGGGAACUCUUGCUGAUCAACAUUUUUGCACAUUGAUGCCUAAUAAACAACUUUAACUUGUUCUGGGAGAGGCCCAGCCUGCUGAAGCAUGAUGGUCUCCACCCAAAACGACAUGGAGCCAGGCUGUUAUCUGACAACAUAACGACCACACUGACAGCCUGAGGCGGCCCUCUCAACCUCUCAACCCGGACACAAUCACUCCCAUCUGGCAGGAGGCUGCGGUCCAGCUGGGAACUCUU